rnacentral:rRNA from 1 species
UCUUCCCAGUGGUGUACAGAUCGUAUGGCUCGUCUCUCUCCUUUCGCUGUGUCGUUUUUGUUAAGGGAUAAAGUGGCUUGAGGGAGAGGUGACGGGCGGUGUGUGCGCGCUUCAGGGCAGCUUCAGCAAAACACUCUAUUUUUUGCUUACUUCUAAAUCCUCCUUCUAAUGUUUUUUCAUUUCAUUAUCCGUAUGUUCUGAGGUAGAGAAUGUAGCCAUUUCUUCCCCUCCCAUGUACUACACCUCGACCUGACGUUUUGAGUUGUACUGAUUUUGCUUACUAUUAGGCCUUCACAGGGUAAGCUGGCGACGGCGGUAUAUAGGCGGAAAGAGCAAGGGAGGGUGAGGUUUAACGGGGGUUAUCGGUUCUAGAACAGGCUCCUCUAGGUGGGUCUAAAGCACCGCCAAGUCCUUUGGGUUUUAAGCUAGUGCUCGUAGUUCCCGGGCGGAUAGGGGAUGUUUCAUCUAUCAAAGUUUAGGGUUGGGCAUAGUGGGGUAUCUAAUCCCAGUUUGUUUCCCAACUUUCGUGGGUUCGGAAGGGUUAAAGCCACUUUCGUAGGGGAGCUUCUUGCUCUCGGACACGUAUAACAGUCCUGAGAGUGUUCGGCUUUAGUUUUCAUUAUCUCUUAACCACUCUUUUACGCCGGUGGCUGUCAACUUGGCCUCUCGAUAACCGGG